CCUACGGGAUGCUGCAGUGGGGGAUAUUGCACAAUGGGGGAAACCCUGAUGCAGCAACGCCGCGUGAGUGAAGAAGUAUUUCGGUAUGUAAAGCUCUAUCAGCAGGGAAGAGAAUGACGGUACCUGACUAAGAAGCCCCGGCUAACUACGUGCCAGCAGCCGCGGUAAUACGUAGGGGGCGAGCGUUAUCCGGAUUUACUGGGUGUAAAGGGAGCGUAGACGGCUGUUCAAGUCUGAAGUGAAAGCCCGGGGCUAAACCCCGGAACGGCUUUGGAAACUGAGCGGCUGGAGUGCUGGUGAGGUAAGCGGAAUUCCUAGUGUAGCGGUGAAAUGCGUAGAGAUUAGGAGGAACACCAGUGGCGAAGGCGGCUUACUGGACAGUAACUGACGUUGAGGCUCGAAAGCGUGGGGAGCAAACAGGAUUAGAUACCCCUGUAGUC
rnacentral:rRNA from 1 species